rnacentral:antisense_RNA from 1 species
CGUAACCAAAGAUAACACCUGGGUUUAAAGUAGGGUUAUCAAUGAUUCUUACAUCACCACCACCUGGUGCCCAUGUAUCGUAAAGACCGCCAACAUAUAAAGCUUUAAUAACUAGUAAUAGUGCUCCAAAUCCUAGGAUAACUAAGUGAAUACCAAGAAUUGUAGUAAUCUUGUUCUUAUCUCUCCA